rnacentral:rRNA from 1 species
AUUAGACGAAUCAUCUGGAAAGAUGAAUCAAAGAAGGUAAUAAUCCUGUAGUCGAAAAUGUUGUCUCUCUUGAGUGGAUCCUGAGUACGACGGAGCACGUGAAAUUCCGUCGGAAUCUGGGAGGACCAUCUCCUAAGGCUAAAUACUCUCUAGUGACCGAUAGUGAACCAGUACCGUGAGGGAAAGGUGAAAAGCACCCCGGAAGGGGAGUGAAAUAGAACCUGAAACCGUGUGCUUACAAGUAGUCAGAGCCCGUUAAUGGGUGAUGGCGUGCCUUUUGUAGAAUGAACCGGCGAGUUACGAUUUGAUGCAAGGUUAAGCAGUAAAUGUGGAGCCGUAGCGAAAGCGAGUCUGAAUAGGGCGUUUAGUAUUUGGUCGUAGACCCGAAACCAGGUGAUCUACCCUUGGUCAGGUUGAAGUUCAGGUAACACUGAAUGGAGGACCGAACCGACUUACGUUGAAAAGUGAGCGGAUGAACUGAGGGUAGCGGAGAAAUUCCAAUCGAACCUGGAGAUAGCUGGUUCUCUCCGAAAUAGCUUUAGGGCUAGCCUCAAGUGAUGAUUAUUGGAGGUAGAGCACUGUUUGGACGAGGGGCCCCUCUCGGGUUACCGAAUUCAGACAAACUCCGAAUGCCAAUUAAUUUAACUUGGGAGUCAGAACAUGGGUGAUAAGGUCCGUGUUCGAAAGGGAAACAGCCCAGACCACCAGCUAAGGUCCCAAAAUAUAUGUUAAGUGGAAAAGGAUGUGGCGUUGCCCAGACAACUAGGAUGUUGGCUUAGAAGCAGCCAUCAUUUAAAGAGUGCGUAAUAGCUCACUAGUCGAGUGACACUGCGCCGAAAAUGUACCGGGGCUAAACAUAUUACCGAAGCUGUGGAUUGUCCUUUGGACAAUGGUAGGAGAGCGUUCUAAGGGCGUUGAAGCAUGAUCGUAAGGACAUGUGGAGCGCUUAGAAGUGAGAAUGCCGGUGUGAGUAGCGAAAGACGGGUGAGAAUCCCGUCCACCGAUUGACUAAGGUUUCCAGAGGAAGGCUCGUCCGCUCUGGGUUAGUCGGGUCCUAAGCUGAGGCCGACAGGCGUAGGCGAUGGAUAACAGGUUGAUAUUCCUGUACCACCUAUAAUCGUUUUAAUCGAUGGGGGGACGCAGUAGGAUAGGCGAAGCGUGCGAUUGGAUUGCACGUCUAAGCAGUAAGGCUGAGUAUUAGGCAAAUCCGGUACUCGUUAAGGCUGAGCUGUGAUGGGGAGAAGACAUUGUGUCUUCGAGUCGUUGAUUUCACACUGCCGAGAAAAGCCUCUAGAUAGAAAAUAGGUGCCCGUACCGC